rnacentral:lncRNA from 1 species
UUGCUAUUGUGCUUUUAGUAUUGCAAGUCGAAGCAAAUGGAUGUGCUGCAGUGGUCCUUUUGUCUCUCUUUUUUUUUCCAUAUUUGCCUGAAUUAUUUUUUUCCUUUUUGUAUGUGUGCGCUCACUAAAUGCAGGAUUCCAUCAACUCAGCAUCAUCAUUGACGAAAACCUUGAGUACAGAGUUGGCUGAUAGUCAAAGACAGCUGUUAGCUAUUGCAGCAAACUCAGGUGCAACAAAUUCGUUGGCUACACAACCUAGCAAUGGACCUUUGGCUAGCUUCCAUGAGAAGGUUUGUUAUGUUUUAUGAUCUGAACUGUUUCAGCUGCUUAUGACUGUCAAAUAUCAUUUGUUAUCGCGGAGGUAAUUCUAAGCCUUCCCCGUUGAUGAUUCAGGUUGAAACACCUUUGGAUCCAACAAAAGAGCUAACACGAUUAAUAUCUGAAC